ensembl:antisense
GGAAGAGGGCUCUGCGGAAUGCUUAGGAGACCCCUCCACCAGAGCUACUCCAGGGCCGGGACUUCGAGACUUCCACUUCACCACCGCAGGACCAUCCAAAGCAGAUAGACUAGGAGACGCAGCGCAGAUACACAGAGAAAGGAUGAGGCCGGUGCAGGGUGGUGAUGGUAGUUGUGAGAGAGUCUUUCUACAGAGCCCUGGCUCUACUGGAACUCUAUAUAUCAGGCUGGACUUGAACUCACAAAGAUCUACCUGCUGCUGCCUCCUAAAUGCUGGGACUAAAGGCAUGUGCUAGCAUGCAUAGCCUAAUGUAACUCCCCCACCUUCUACCUUCACUAGCAAGGACAAUACAGAGUCAUCCGAGUC